rnacentral:rRNA from 1 species
GAUGAACGCUAGCUACAGGCUUAACACAUGCAAGUCGAGGGGCAGCGCAGUGUAGCAAUACAUGGGCGGCGACCGGCGCACGGGUGCGUAACGCGUAUCCAACCUUCCCGUUACUCUCGGAUAGCCUUCUGAAAGGGAGAUUAAUACGAGAUGGUGUUGAAAUUCCGCAUGUUAUUUCAACUAAAGAUUCAUCGGUAACGGAUGGGGAUGCGUGACAUUAGGUAGAUGGCGGGGUAACGGCCCACAUGCCCACGAUGUCUAGGGGUUCUGAGAGGAAGGUCCCCCANACUGGAACUGAGACACGGUCCAGACUCCUACGGGAGGCAGCAGUGAGGAAUAUUGGUCAAUGGCCGAAGGCUGACCAGCCAAGUAGCGUGAAGGAUGAAGGUUC